rnacentral:rRNA from 1 species
AUGUCGUUGAAGGUUUUAUGCUGGAAGGUGAGGGGGCUCAAUAACCCUACUAGGCGCUCGUCAGUUAGGCUUUUUAUGCAAUCUUGUAAUGUUGCCCUUGCUUGUUUACAAGAAUCUAAGCUUGAGGUGGUGGAUGCAGCAGUGGUCUGCCAGGUUCUUGGUUCUGGGUUCGAUGACUUUGAUUUUCUGCCGGAUGUGGGCACUCAUGGGGGAAUACUGAUGGCUUGCAAACCG